UGGGGAAUAUUGGACAAUGGGCGAAAGCCUGAUCCAGCCAUGCCGCGUGUGUGAAGAAGGCCUUUUGGUUGUAAAGCACUUUAAGCGAGGAGGAGGCUACUUGGAUUAAUACUCUAGGAUAGUGGACGUUACUCGCAGAAUAAGCACCGGCUAACUCUGUGCCAGCAGCCGCGGUAAUACAGAGGGUGCGAGCGUUAAUCGGAUUUACUGGGCGUAAAGCGUGCGUAGGCGGCUUCUUAAGUCGGAUGUGAAAUCCCUGAGCUUAACUUAGGAAUUGCAUUCGAUACUGGGGAGCUAGAGUAUGGGAGAGGAUGGUAGAAUUCCAGGUGUAGCGGUGAAAUGCGUAGAGAUCUGGAGGAAUAACGAUGGCGAAGGCAGCCAUCUGGCCUAAUACUGACGCUGAGGUACGAAAGCAUGGGUAGCAAACAGG
rnacentral:rRNA from 1 species